rnacentral:miRNA from 1 species
AUAAGGCGAAUAAAAGGU